GCUCGCCGCAGAGAGGGAGCAACGUCGUGCCGCCAAUCGGGCAAACCAGAACCUGCGGAGGUCGGCCCGGAUUGCCGCGAGGCGAGGCAAUGUGUGAUAAUAGCCUGGACUGAUUCGCAGAAGCAGCAGGGGGGAGACCGAGGGGGGAUACUGGGUCGAACACUGCUGAGGUUCUCGGGACGUAAACGCCUUGCUAUAGGAGUAGUAGGGAGGAAGCCGAGACGGGUAGUGCAUGGUCACUCAAACCAGGCCCGCUGCACUAUCGUGGUCAAGAAAGACUGGGUGUGGUCAGUCGGGGUAGACGCCGGAGGCCAUUCUCUUUCUUUGACCGCCUGUAAAUUAUUUCCAAGAAGAUCAGGCCUCACCGUGGGACGCGCACACACGUUGUAGGUAUGCAGGUAUUUCAAUGUCUACCUUGUGACAAUAUGUUCCUAUUCACCAGAUCUGUUUACCCCCAUACCUCCUAAUGGGAGUCAUGUAUAUCUAUGAGUUUGACACGUUGGUUACCAAGUUGA